AAAUCCGUCGAAUUUUGAAAUCGUAGAGGGUUCAAGUCCCUCUAUCCCCA
rnacentral:tRNA from 1 species